rnacentral:rRNA from 1 species
UUACGGGAGGCAGCAGUGGGGAAUCUUGCGCAAUGGGCGAAAGCCUGACGCAGCGACGCCGCGUGGGGGAUGAAGCUUUUCGGAGCGUAAACCCCUUUCGACCGGGACGAAUGCCCGCAAGGGCUUGACGGUACCGGUAGAAGAAGCCCCGGCUAACUACGUGCCAGCAGCCGCGGUAAAACGUAGGGGGCCAGCGUUGCUCGGAAUUACUGGGCGUAAAGGGUCUGUAGGCGGUGCGGCAAGUCGGAAGUGAAAUCGCAGGGCUUAACUCUGCGGCUGCUUCCGAAACUGCCGUGCUCGAGUGUGAGAUAGGCGAGUGGAAUUGCAGGUGUAGCGGUGAAAUGCGUAGAUAUCUGCAGGAACAUCCGAGGCGAAAGCGGCUCGCUGGAUCACAACUGACGCUGAGAGACGAAAGCUAGGGGAGCAAACAGGAUUAGAUACCCCGGU